rnacentral:rRNA from 1 species
UACGAAGGGGGCUAGCGUUGCUCGGAAUCACUGGGCGUAAAGGGUGCGUAGGUGGUUGGGUAAGUCUGAUGUGAAAUCUCCGGGCUCAACCCGGAAAUGGCAUUGGAUACUAUUCGGCUAGAGGGUUGGAGGGGGGACUGGAAUUCUCGGUGUAGCAGUGAAAUGCGUAGAUAUCGAGAGGAACACCAGUGGCGAAGGCGAGUCCCUGGACAACACCUGACACUGAGGCACGAAAGCUAGGGGAGCAAACAGG